CAGUAACUGGUAUGGUCAGAUAGACUAGUGGUUAGAGUGGUGGGUCAGUAACUGGUAUGGUCAGAUAGACUAGUGGUUAGAGUAGUGGUGGUCAGUAACUAGUAUGGUCAGAUAGACUAGUGGUUAGAGUGGUGGGUCAGUAACUGGUAUGGUCAGAUAGACUAGUGGUUAGAGUGGUGGGUCAGUAACUGGUAUGGUCAGAUAGACUAGUGGUUAGAGUGGUGGGUCAGUAACUGGUAUGGUCAGAUAGACUAGUGGUUAGAGUGGUGGGUCAGUAACUGGUAUGGUCAGGUAGACUAGUGGUUAGAGUGGUGGGUCAGUAACUGGUAUGGUCAGAUAGACUAGUGGUUAGAGUGUUGGGUCAGUAACUGGUAUGGUCAGGUAGACUAGUGGUUAGAGUGGUGGGUCAGUAACUGGUAUGGUCAGAUAGACUAGUGGUUAGAGUGCUGGGUCAGUAACUGGUAUGGUAUGGUCAGAUAGACUAGUGGUUAGAGUGGUGGUGGUCAGUAACUGGUAUGGUCAGAUAGACUAGUGGUUAGAGUGGUGGGUCAGUAACUGGUAUGGUCAGAUAGACUAGUGGUUAGAGUGGUGGGUCAGUAACUGGU